rnacentral:rRNA from 1 species
CCUUGAGAUGAGUUUUCCCUGGCACUAUAAGUGUCCUAAAGGGUUGUCGUAGACUACGACGUUGAUAGGCAGGGUGUGUAAGUGCUGCGAGGCAUUGAGCUAACCUGUACUAAUUGCCCGUGAGGCUUAACCAUACAACACCCAAGGGGUUU